rnacentral:tRNA from 1 species
GCAGUCGUGACCGAGUGGUUAAGGCGAUGGACUACAAAUCCAUUGGGGUCUCCCCCUACAGGUUCGAAUCCUGUCGACUGCG